rnacentral:lncRNA from 1 species
CCCAUGUCAGAUUUGCUCUAAAUGCUUUGGUUUUUGAGUUAUAAGCCAAAAACUGCAUUUUACCCCUAUGUUCUAUUUUUAGCCGUGGCGGCCAUCUUGGUUGGUUGGCCGGGUCACCGGACACAUUUUUUAAACUAGAUACCCAAUGAUGAUUGUGGCCAAGUUUGGUUUAAUUUGGCCCAGUAGUUUCAGAGGAGAAGAUUUUUCUAAAAGAUAACUAAGAUUUACGAAAAAUGGUUAAAAAUUGACUAUAAAGGGCAAUAACUCCUAAAGGGGUCAACUGACCAUUUUGGUCAUGUUGACUUAUUUGUAAAUCUUACUUUGCUGAACAUUAUUGCUGUUUACAGUUUAUCUCUAUCUAUAAUAAUAUUCAAGAUAAUAACCAAAAACAGCAAAAUUUCCUUAAAAUUACCAAUUCAGGGGCAGCAACCCAACAACGGUUGUCCGAUUCAUCUGAAAAUU